rnacentral:rRNA from 1 species
AUCAACGCUGGCGGCGUGCCUAACACAUGCAAGUCGUACGAGAAAGUGGAGCAAUCCAUGAGUAAAAGUGGCGACCGGGUGAGUAACACGUGACUACCUACCUUCUAGUAGGGGAUAACUCCGGGAAACCGGAGCUAAUACCGCAUAACAUCGCAAGAUCAAAGCAGCAAUGCGCUGGAAGAGGGGGUCGCGGCUGAUUAGCUAGUUGGUAGGGUAAUGGCCUACCAAGGCAAAGAUCGGUAUCCGGCCUGAGAGGGCGCACGGACACACUGGAACUGAAACACGGUCCAGACUCCUACGGGAGGCAGCAGUGGGGAAUUUUGCGCAAUGGGGGAAACCCUGACGCAGCAACGCCGCGUGGAGGAUGCAGUCCUUUGGGACGUAAACUCCUUUCGACCAAGACGAUAAUGACGGUACUGGUGGAAGAAGCACCGGCUAACUCUGUGCCAGCAGCCGCGGUAAUACAGAGGGUGCGAGCGUUGUUCGGAAUUAUUGGGCGUAAAGGGCGCGUAGGCGGCGCCACAAGUCACUUGUGAAAACUCUGGGCUCAACUCAGAGCCUGCAAGCGAAACUGUGGUGCUGGAGUAUGGGAGAGGUGCGUGGAAUUCCCGGUGUAGCGGGUGAAAUGCGUAGAUAUCGGGAGGAACACCUGUGGCGAAAGCGGCGCACUGGACCAUAACUGACGCUGAGGCGCGAAAGCUAGGGGAGCAAACAGGAUUAGAUACCCUGGUAGUCCUAGCCCUAAACUAUGGAUGCUUGGUGUGAUCGGUACCCAAUCCGAUCGUGCCGAAGCUAACGCGAUAAGCAUCCCGCCUGGGGAGUACGGUCGCAAGACUGAAACUCAAAGGAAUUGACGGGGGCCCGCACAAGCGGUGGAGCAUGUGGUUCAAUUCGACGCAACGCGAAGAACCUUACCUGGGCUCGAAAUGUAGGAGACGGGGGUAGAAAUAUCCCUUUCCGCAAGGACCCCUAUAUAGGUGCUGCAUGGCUGUCGUCAGCUCGUGUCGUGAGAUGUUGGGUUAAGUCCCGCAACGAGCGCAACCCUAUCUUUAGUUGCCAUCAGGUCAAGCUGGGCACUCUAACGAACCGCGUAGGAUAACUACGAGGAAGGUGGGGAUGACGUCAAGUCCUCAUGGCCUUUAUGUCCAGGGCUACACACGUGCUACAAUGGUCGGUACAAAACGUCGCAAACCCGUGAGGGGGAGCUAAUCGGAAAAAGCCGGCCUCAGUUCGGAUUGGAGUCUGCAAUUCGACUCCAUGAAGCUGGAAUCGCUAGUAAUCGCGGAUCAGAACGCCGCGGUGAAUACGUUCCCGGGCCUUGUACACACCGCCCGUCACAUCACGAAAGUGGACUGCACUAGAAGUCGGCGUGCUAACCGCAAGGAGGCAGCCGCCCAAGGUAUGGUUCAUGAUUGGGGUG